UUCAGCUGGGAUAGAGUUAAUUUUUUCUUUGUAAUGUCUGGUUUUUGUUUUGCCUUUAGGAGAAAAACAGUGUUGAUACCACGCCGAUGUUUCAGUUGUUGCCAAGCAGUGGCUGCACAGAGCCAAGAAUGUUUCAGUUUUUCAGCUUCUUGUACUGUCCUCCCAGCAAGGUAGGCUGAGGGGACACAAGGAGUUAGCAGGGGACAGAACCAGGACAGCUGACCUAAAUUGGCCAAAGGGAUAUUCUAUACCAUAUGGCAUCAUGUAGAAAGAGCUAGAAAAACUGGGGGAGCUAGGUGGGGAAACAGCCACUGCUUGGGGACGGGCUGGGCAUUGGUCAGCAAGUGGUGAGCGAUUGCACUGUGCAUCAUUUCUUUUGCAUAUACAUACAACAUAUAUUAUCAUUACUGUUAAUUUUUUUCUUCUUUUCCUUCAUAGUAAAUAGUUUUUAUCUUAGCUCAUGAGUUCUACUCUGUUGUUUUUUUCUGAUUGUCUCCCCCAUCCCUCUGGAAGGGGGAGUGUAUGAAUGACAGUGUGGUGCUUAGCUACCUGUGGCAUUAAACCACAACAUCCCUGCACUUAAUCUAGAAUUCAAAUGAUUGAUGUUAUUGUUGCAUAUAAUUCAUGGUGACACAGUACCAGACAGCCACAUACGUUUAGAUCAUUUUGUUCUUUGCCUCUCCUCUCAUUCUCUGCCUCUCUCACACCCUGGUCUGAGUAGAGCAAUCACUAGGCCUGUGCCCUCUGCUCGGGUGAAAGCCCUGUGGUGCCGCCAGCUCCAGGCCCUGCUAUGCCACCAGCUCUAGGCCCUGUUGUUCCCACUGUCCCACCAUCUCAAGGCCUUGCCAUCCUGUCAAUUCAAUGUUUACGCAUACAAGGUACCGUGGAAAAUGAAAUGGAAGAUAAUCAUGCAGUGACACAAAUCCCACUAGAAAAUCCAACUUUAGUGUUCGGGACUCUCUUCCUGCCUUCAUACCUUCACACGUGUGUCCUCUGCUUUGCCAAACCUACGACAGUCUGCACAGCAAUGUCUUCUAGCAUACAUUUAUGUUUUCUGCUUAUCACCUCCCAAUUUUUUUUUCUGCCCUUUUUUUCUCAUCUUCCUUGUCUACAGAAAUAAACAGCUGGAUCCCUCAAAAUAUAGUCAUUGGGCCCUCAAAUCUGAGAGAGUCUUUCAAGAAGUUUGGAGUUCUCCUGUUGCCCAGAAUGGGAGCCCUGCACCUUGCACCAGUAUCAGUGUGAUAGCAGUGACAGAAUGUAAAUGGAAUUACUGCUUCCCCUUUCCACUGGGGAAAAAGGGGAAAGCAACUCUACCUUGUCUGCUCAGUGCACUUGAAGAAAAUAGCUUAUUUUACUGAAGCAAAGGGAGAUCUGACUUUUGGUUACUCCAGGUCAAUAGGAUGGGGAAGCUUUGUUCAGUGUUGUAUCAUGCAAAGUACAAAUGUUGGUUGAGUUCUGGCUGCAAAUGCUGAUGAUGGAAGAUGCUGAAGGUAUGGCAUAAACUGAUUUGUAUAGAUUUCAAGACUCAUUACCAAUUGCUCGCAGUUAAAAUGUGGCUUGAAGUUGAACAUUACAUGAUGAAAGUAAAAGAAAACCCUUGACCCUGUUUCUCACCUAAAUUUAAUUUUUGCAGGAACACUUUUUUGAGAGCAUAAAACAAGUUUGGGGAAUGGCAGCCCUAUGCAACUACAUCAGACAUCCUAAUCUCGAUUUACAACAGCAUCUGUCUUACGAACAUGUCAAAAUAAUUGGCUGUGCUACACUGGGAACGUUUAUCAGACUGUAUGACAGUAUCUUUUGUCUCCAAAAUGAUUUACAGUAAAUGUGCAGAUGUUAUUUACAGUGACCUAAUAAUACUUCUAGAGAGAAGUAUUUCUUUUUAAGUCUUUUAAAAAUGUGCACUGUUCACUCUCAACUAAAAUAUCUAGAAAAAGUAAGUUGUUAAUUAAAAUGUCUGGUACUAUAACACUGUCUAAAGUCUAAUAUUAGUAGAAUUUUGGCUGACCUUGCUAAGAAUGGAGAAAAAUGAUCCUGCUAUCAGAAGAGUUGUUAUAUGGUCUUUUGCAAAGCAUACUGAAUGUAAAACUUUUACUUUAUUGUGUAUUCUUAACUAGCUUUGUGUUAGUUAUUUUCCAGUUAUGUUAUAGCAAUUUAGCCAAAUUCUUUACUUGUUUAAUAACAAUUGGAAUUAAAUGAUCAGAGUAGUUUUAAUUUUAGUGGGUUUUUUUUUCAGUGAAUCCAUCUAAAACUAUGCAUUUUACAUUCCACUACCAUGCAUUCAGAUACCAAUUUUAGUAGCCAACCAUCACGUUCAAAAAAACUAUUAUUGAAAGCUGCAGUUUCACACUUUGUUUGCAUUACAUGCACACAAACAUUGGAAAGAGUUAAAGUACCUAGGGAAUAAAAGUGUUGACAUGAUAUAAAAUAGAAAUGCAGUGAUUCUUUAAAUUUACAUGAAGAAAGUGUUAAGUAGCUGUCUUCUUUUACUUAGAUAAUAGUAUAAUUUGGUUGGAAAAUCAGCUUUUGCUUUGAAUCUGCUGGGGAAAAAAAAAAAAAAACAUUUCCAAUGUGGAUCUCCAGUGUGAUUCAUUCGAAUGAUAAAAUAAGCAAAAUAAGCUAGUUGUGUACUCCCUCUGUAGUAUUUUUAUUACUAUAUGAUGCAACAUGUAAUUCGAGUGCCUAGUUUUUAAAAGGAAAAAUUUCUGUCAAGACUAAAAUGAGGAUACAGAGUAGAUGAUAAUUGAUGAUACGUUUUUGUACUGACUUCCUUUUUUUUUUUUAGUAAGUCAAGAUGAAGAAACUAUGUAUUUUAAGAAUUUUAAUAUAGGAGAAGCAGAAGUGGUAAUGCUUGGCAAUAUCAUCGAAAAUAGAGGAGGAUGGUACAUGCUAGAAGCAUUGAUUUGUUGUACACUGUUGGCACCAAGAGAGUCCAAAACCGAAGCCUAAUGCCCACAGAGCUGGGAGCCACUUAGUGCCUUGGCAUGGCUGUGUAGCUAUCCAGACCAUAUGGGAUUCUCAGGGCAGCCCCAGUGGCUGAAUCCCAGUUUCGGGAACAUUGUCUCAGUGCCUUCAUCUUGAGUUGCUGGCAAUGAAGUCAGAAUGUUGUGGUUGUCAGUGGUUUUCUUUCCCUGGGAUUCCUCUUCAGGAUGUCAGCACGUCAGAUCCUUGAGCUCAUUUCUCCCAGAAAAAGGAUUUUUCCUCUGGAAAAGGAUUGUAAAGCUAUGUUUGGUUUUUAUUUGUUUAUUUAUUAUUUUAACUGUCAUUCCUUGCACUGCAAUAUAACUUGUUGCAAUACAGGAUUAUUUCAAUUAAUUUUCUUUUGACUUAGGGAAAUGUGUUUCUACUGGUCCAUGUGAAGACUAGGCAUUUGCAAAAUCUAUUCAGUCUUUAUAAUUCUUGGACUCAUCAGUGGUCAGUUCAGUGCUGUAGCUAAGUAAGUAGGAAUUUGCCCUUCAUAGAGAUGAAGAAAUAUAGCUGGAAAGAAGUUUACAAAAUUGAAGGAAGAGAAGGAGGGGCUGUGCCUGUCAUUUGAAAUGCUGAAUACAGAAGUUGACUCACGAAAUUGAGGUAAGGAUACAUAGCAGCUAGCAUUUGACUUCUGAUCUGUAUGUAAUGAUCCUGAAAUGAUGACAAACUCUAAACAAGGAAUAAUCUUGCACUAGGCAAAGAUAUUUUCUGCUGCUUGUAACACAUAGCUCUUACGUUGAGGCUGAGAGAGUUUUUAGAAACUAUUAGACAAAACAAUAAAAUUUUAAAAAAUUGUUGCUAUCUAACCAUAUACACAGCUCAACUAGAAGUUACACAGAUUAAAGGCAGGAGGAUGUUCAUAAAGGAAAACUAACAAGCAAUUGGAAGUAAUCAGUGACUUUCCUAAAGUUUUGUCUUGGGACUAAUCUUGCUAUUUUCAUUAACACCCCAAUACCAAAGAAAGAAUGUGUUGUUGAGUUAUAUCGAUAUCACAAAUUUUGGAGAUCUAUCCACACAUAGGAAAAUAUUUCUCUUUUCAGUUUGCUGUCUGUAGGGAUUUAAAAUCUUUGUACUCUUUUUGUACAUGUAGGCAGAGUUGUGUAAGUAGGCUAUAUGCACAUUUGGGCCUGAUCUUGAUCAAUUCCAUCCUGUGAUUGAUCCUUGAGAUACAGCUCCCCUCUCUCAGUCCAAAUUCUUUUCAAAUCAAUCAUAUACCUCUGAAAACUAGGCAAAUAGUGAUAAAUAGUAGCUAAGGAGCAAAACUUGCACAUAAAAUCUGUCUGAGUGCACGAGAUAGAGAUGAGCUGCUCUGGCUUUAUAUAUGCUGACAGGUCUCUUGUCUGACAAAGAUCAUAUAUAGAUAGUGUUCAGUACAGCUAAAAUUUGCUAGCCCAAAUCCUUGAAGACACCUCAGGAGGAAGCCUUACUGUUUUCUCUUUCUUUGUCUUACCUUGAGGUGAAUAGUGAGGAUUGGAAAUCAGUCUGGAAUCUGAAGUCAAUUCAAACACAAUGCCUACUUAUUAACUUCAGUUCUUUAGAAUGUCUGUCUGCCCGCAAGAUGUUAACCUGGAGCUCUUUUAAUUGAAAAAAAAAAAGUUACUGUGCAUUUGGUGUUGUGGGAUUUGGAAUUCAGGCAGGCUCUCUCUCUUCAUCCCAUCUGAUAAAAGAUAGCUCAAAUAGUUGAAUUUCAAGGAAUGCUGCAUUCCCUACUCUUCAGCUUUGUGGUUGAGGCAGCUUUUCUGCUUUAUUGCAUGCAAGUGCUUCAUUUAUUUGCACUGUCAUUUGUAUAGAGUGCCAAAGAUAAUGUUAGUUUUCAUGUGUGCUUAGGCAUAGCUACAGCAUUUUAGAAAUGUUCAGUUCUGAGUUUCAGUUCAAAGUGCAUUCAAGUCAUCAAAAAGAUUCUCAUUGAUAGGACUGGGUAUGGUUUAUGCUGCCUACACUUGAUGGCAUCUUCUUCCCUUCUGUCAGAGCCUGGUGCUGUUCCAGCCCUCUGAUUCCCCUUACAUGAGCUGCCUCCUGUCUUCAUACAUAAAUGCAUGCAGUUAGAGCUCCAGUUUCUGUUUACACUUAACUUUCCAAGGAAUGAAAUUUACCGUAAUCAAUCCUUCAAUAGGUUAGGUUCCAAAGGGCCUAAUCAGUGCAGCUGACAAGAUUUUCAUGGCGCUGAUCAUGGAGUCAGCCUGACCAUCAAUUAAAACUUCUCUCUCUGAAUCUUUGUUUUUCAGGCAAGGAAUAGCACAUAAGGGAAAUUUUGAAGAAGAUCCAAAGAUAGCAGAUGGCUGUCACUGCUGUGCUGUGCUUAGUUUUAGUCAUCAGAUUGGAGAAAUCACAUAUCUGAGUUGCACAGAGAUAUACAAAUGGAGGUUUACUGUUUAUAUGCCAGAAAUGGAUAUGGAAAGGCAAGGGCUGUAUGUAUGAGGCUGCAUCUUCUGACAUGCCCUUCUACUUAAAAGUUUUUUACACAAUACCCUUACCUUUGUGCUUGAUUAUUCAAAAGUGUUAAAAGGUGUUAGUGGUCUUCUGAUAAAGGCAUUGCGGUUAUACACAUUUCAGUGCAAUUCUUGGCCUGUGAGUAAAUUCCUAAGAUGUUUGCUUUUAUUCAUUAGGCUUAAUAAAUCAGAAUUUGCUGCAGUACAGGUAAUCACUUGGAAUUUAUCCAGAAAAUGAAACAUAAGCUGUGCUCUGUGAUCUUUUUUUUGUUUUGUUUUUCCUUUAAGAAGGGUUUUUUGAGGGAUUUCACUUCUGUCAUUAUCUUCUUUGGUUUUCUUGCACUUCAUUUUGUUAGAGGUUGCAAAGAAGGCAUGUUGUCUUUCUUGUCUUCUUAUUUCUUCAAAUACCAAAGAAUUGGUAUUUGAUGAUUUGAUUCAUAUUUUAAAAUUCGUAUUUUGUUCAUUUCAGUCAACUGCCAUGAUUUCAUAAUCCACUGAGUUUUCCUUUGAAAGGGGGCAACCUAGUUAAUACAGAAGAACACUUUUGUUUUUGCUAUCUCAGCAUCAAAUAUACGGUAUGAAAAAGCUGCCAUCCACCAGAAGCCACAUGCUGCCUCAUUAAAAACAAAAACAGGAAACAUUUUUAUUUACUUUGAAAAAGACCAUAUCAAAAGAGAUAAAGAGGAAGGGAGAAGAGGCUGCAGCUGUUUCAGUCUAACUUUCAACUACAGAGCUCUAUUUUUAACACUCGUCAAAUUUGACAAGGUCAUGUAGCUUUUGUUUUGCAGAGGUGUGCAGAUGUUUACAUACGUUAACUGGUUUUGUUUCAUGCCACCAGGCAAUACUUGCUGAAUGAAACAAGUAGUGUUGCGUAGAGUUAGAAAGAAGUAAUGGUCAAAACUGCACAUUCUUUGUUUUUCAAUAAUGAGAUUUUCACUUGAGUGCAGAUCUCCGUUAUUUGGCUUCGAGUGCAUACUCUUCAUCAUGAUUAACAAAUUCCUUUGGACAAUCAGAAUGGCAGAACCACUUAAUGUGCAGUUGGAUGAGUCAAGUCAUCAGCCACCUCAGAACUGAGGGCCAAGCAAUCUGCACGGUAUUAGUUUUGCACUGAUGCCAAGCAUUCAGCCAAAUUUGAGUCCAAGAACUGAAAGAAAAUGCAUUUCAGUUAAUUAUGUAGUUUGGGCUAUUUAAAUAUCUGAAAUCAUUUUCACCAAUUACAUUUAUUUGUUAUAUUCUUUGCUACACAAAUUAAAAGGCGACUUUUAUAACUAAGCUGAUCAAA